UAUAUGAUUAUAUGACAAUAGGAACAAACUCAUUAGAUUCAAAAUAAUGAAACUGUCUGUAUGCAUAUUCAAGUUGAUGGUUUUUUUUGUUCUCUUAGUUUGAAAGUAUCGCAAUAUUCAAAGAAAUGGAUAAUAGUUGGGUUCCUCAUAACCGGUUGAGUAAGGAGUUUGAUGUUGUUCUUAGACCAUGCAUUUGAAAAUGGGUUUGUUACUGAAAGUACUAAAAUGAAAUGUCCAUGCAAAGAGUGCACCAAUAUUUAUUACAAGACCAGAGAUGAGAUAUAUGAUGAUGUAGUAACUUGUGGUAUGACAAAGAGCUACACAAUUUGGUAUCAUCAUGGUGAAAGUUUCCCCUUAACGUUUCCUUCUAUUUCUUAUGUCGGGGCAAAAAAUGCAAAUGCUGAGGUUGGAGAUAAUGAUAGUGAAGAACUUGGAGAUAAUAUUACAGGCAUGAUUCGAGAUGCAUAUGGAGUACCAGUGUGUGAAGAUGAUGAUAUGUGUGAUAUAAACGUGGGAGCGAGUAGCACACCAAGUGAUUUUGGAACUACAAGUGUGUUGGUGGGAUGACCGAUAAGUCAUUAAAAGAUAUGCUCCAACUUAUGAGAGAUUCAUUCCAGAGGGGUGCACUUUGCCUGAAAACUUCACACAGUGUAAGAAGCUUCUCGUUACAAAGAUGGAAAAACGAAAACGGCUGCCAAGAUUCUUCGUCACUUCCCUUUGAAACCCCCGGCUGCAACGGUUAUCCACGUGUUCAAAGACUGCUGCAAAUAUGAGAUGGCAUCAUGAAGUGCGUACGAGAGAUGGGGUAUUGAGACAUCCAGCUGAUUCUUAAGCUUGGAAGAAAUUCGACGAGAUGAAUCCAACUUUUGCAGCUGAUUCAAGGAAUAUAAGAUUAGGUUUAUCAACCGACGGAUUUAGUCCAUACAGUUCAAUGAAAAAUCCACAUAGCACAUGGUCUGUGGUUCUUUUACCGUAUAACUUACCGCCAUGGUUAUGCAUGAAACAGCCUAACAUGAUACUGUCUCUGCUUAUAUCAGGCCCGCAUAGCCCUGCAAAUAUUUGAUGUACCAGACGAGUUGAAUGAUUGGAUCAAACUCAAGUUGAACGAAAGGUGGAGAAAUUACAAACAUGCUCUUAAAGUGGGUGCGUAUAGAAACAAGUGAGAAAAACAAUGAAAACAGAUCAAAACAAAAGAAUCUACAUACCACAGGCUCCAAACCACAUGCAAACUAUGCAGUAAAGUUGGCAAAGGAACUAGGACGACCUCCUAAGCGUAGUGAGCUCUAUGGUGUUACCCAUACAAGGAAAAGGAAAACAGAAGAUCCGGACGAAGUAUUGAUGGAUCCCAAAGUGGCUGCGGAAAUUAUAUAAAGUAAAUGGUGGAAGUGGAGUACCAAGCAAGCCAACCAGGUUCUCAUAUUGUGCUACAAGGACGAAAUGAUUCAUUUGCACACGUCAAGGGACCAGAUA